rnacentral:lncRNA from 1 species
CGUGGUCUUGUUACGCCUCGCUGGAUCGUGUUCAGUCAUGCCGUCCUUGCGCGGCGUGAUUGUCGUGCGGCUGGCGUGAGCUGUCUCCACGAUGCGCUUCGAGCGUGUCGAUUUCGCAGUUCUUUAUGUUGGCGUUAACGACCUUGAAAGCAACAUGGAUCCACAAGAAAUGUGCGACAACAUCAAGGCCUUGAUUGUUCAACGAGACGGCCCUCGUCGUGCUGGUUUUCAAGGUGCUCCCUCGCUGCCUAGAAGAUGCUGAUGCGGAAUAGAAAAUGCAAAAACGUCGCUUGCUCAACCGCAAAUUGACGGCUACGCUGAAGCGCAUGCCGUGUCUGCGGAAUUUGAACCCCGAGCUUUCCAGAGUUCCUUGGAAAAUCCUCCCAUGCACCUGCCAUGUACAUUGCCCUCCUCGAUGUGGCGUGCAAGAUGGCAGCAGCAGCUGUGGGAACAGUUGAAGAGGCGAAGAAAGGUCCACUUUAUAAUAGGUUGUAUGUAAAUAAAACUGAUCGACCUCAA